ACGUAGGAGGCAAGCGUUAUCCGGAUUUAUUGGGCGUAAAGAGUGCGCAGGCGGAAUUUUAAGUGUGAGGUGAAAGCCUACGGCUUAACUGUAGUAAGCCUUUAGAACUGGAAGACUUGAGUGAAGGAGAGGAAAGUGGAAUUCCUAGUGUAGCGGUGAAAUGCGUAGAUAUUAGGAGGAACACCAGUGGCGAAGGCGGCUUACUGGACUGUAACUGACGCUGAGGCACGAAAGCGUGGGGAGCAAACAG
rnacentral:rRNA from 1 species